rnacentral:rRNA from 1 species
AACGAACGCUGGCGGCGUGGUUGAUACAUGCAAGUCGAACGGGAAACAGACCUUCGGGUCUGGAGUACAGUGGCGGACGGGUGAGUAACGUAUGAUCAAUCUGCCCUCAAGACUAGGAUAGCCGUCCGAAAGGACGGGUAAUACUGGAUAAGCCCACGGCACGGCAUCGUGCUGUGUGAAAAGGAUUGGGAUCUUCGGACCUUUCGCUUGAGGAUGAGAUCAUAACCUAUCAGUUAGUUGGCGGGGUAACGGCCCACCAAGACGACGACGGGUAGCCGGCCUGAGAGGGUGGACGGCCACACUGGAACUGAGACACGGUCCAGACUCCUACGGGAGGCAGCAGUGCUGAAUUAUUCGCCAAUGCGCGAAAGCGUGACGGUGCGACGCCGCGUGCGGGACGAAGGCCUUCGGGUUGUAAACCGCUGUCAAGGAUUAGAAAACCAAUACGGUUAAUAGCCGUGUUGCUGAUCAGUCCUAAAGGAAGCACAGGCUAAUCUCGUGCCAGCCGCCGCCGUAAAAC